UCAGAAGUACACUGCCUUGUUAAUUAGAUCAGCAAGCUGAGACUGGACCGCAGCUCCCUCUGUCACCCCCCCCGCCAUGGAAGAUGGGAGGCUACCCAGAGCAUAUGCACUAUUUGGAUUUGCAGGCAUUCUGUAGUGCAUUGGGUCCAGAAGAGGGCAGCAAAGAUAGCUGCCAGAUCUCCGCUGCGUGUCAGGGCCUAAACUUUUUGCAUCCAGUUGUUUGGCAGAAGAAGAAUGCAGUGGGAUCACCUUAUGACUCUUCUGCACUCACCAAUGAACAACAUGAACCCACCUCACAGCCUGGUUAUUCAUCUCAUGGAGAACGAUUUCGGGACUUCACAGGUGUCAACUUAAAGGAUAAAAUCUAGAGGGAUGUUGGCUUGAUGGCCAGAGGUCAGUGGUACGCAACAACGGCUGGAAUACUGUGUCCGGUUCUGGUGUCCUCAAUUCAAGAAGAAUAUUGAAAACAUAGGCAAAGUUCAGAGAAGAGUGACAACAAUGAUUAAAGAAUUAGAAAGAAAUCCUCAUUGUGAGAGAUUCAAGGAGCUCAAUCUAUUUAGCUAAACAAAGAGAAGAUUAAGGGGUGACUUGAUCAUAAUUUGAAGACAAUGUCUGGAAGUCGAAUGUAGGCAAAUUCGGACAAGAAACAAGGCACAAUUUUUUUUUUUAAAGUGUGGGGAAGUAAUCACUCAAACAACUUAUUUAUGAACAUGGUGGAUUCUCAGUCACUGCACAUUUUUAAAUCAAGACUGGAUUUUCUCCCCAAAAAGAUAUGCUCUAGUUCAAAUACAACUACUGGACUUCAAGCAGAAAUUA